GAUGAACGCUGGCGGCGUGCCUAAUACAUGCAAGUCGAGCGAACGGACGAGAAGCUUGCUUCUCUGAUGUUAGCGGCGGACGGGUGAGUAACACGUGGAUAACCUACCUAUAAGACUGGGAUAACUUCGGGAAACCGGAGCUAAUACCGGAUAAUAUUUUGAACCGCAUGGUUCAAAAGUGAAAGACGGUCUUGCUGUCACUUAUAGAUGGAUCCGCGCUGCAUUAGCUAGUUGGUAAGGUAACGGCUUACCAAGGCAACGAUGCAUAGCCGACCUGAGAGGGUGAUCGGCCACACUGGAGCUGAGACACGGUCCAGACUCCUACGGGAGGCCGCAGUAGGGAAUCUUCCGCAAUGGGCGAAAGCCUGACGGAGCAACGCCGCGUGAGUGAUGAAGGUCUUCGGAUCGUAAAACUCUGUUAUUAGGGAAGAACAUAUGUGUAAGUAACUGUGCACAUCUUGACGGUACCUAAUCAGAAAGCCACGGCUAACUACGUG
rnacentral:rRNA from 1 species